AAGGCAAUACUUUCAGGGAUCAUUUCUAUAGUUCGUUACUAGAGAAGUUUCUCUGAUCAUGUAGAGUAACAGAUUUUGUGUGGAAACUCCAAAUUCUAACUAUGUACGGCAAU
ensembl:snoRNA U3 Small nucleolar RNA U3